AGUUGUACUUCGUGAAUAUUACUGGGAUAAUUAAAAUCACGAUUAUUUCUGGGCUUGUUAAAUGUUGAAGCAUCAAAUAUAUAAUUGCCAGUUGACGUUAUAGAUCAGAGAGAGUUAGAGAUCAACGCCUCCGAAUUCAAGAUGAAGUUUUACGUUUCGAUUAUACCAGUUUAUCUGACGAUCAUCUCUCAUCUCACGAAAUCCCAAUUCGAUCCACAGUUUGUGGAAGAUCGAACAACCAUGGUCCACUUAUUUGAAUGGAAGUGGAACGAUAUUGCCCUGGAAUGUGAACGUUUUCUUGGUCCAAGAGGGUUUGGUGGGGUUCAGGUAUCUCCUCCAAAUGAAAAUGUAAUUUUUGACAUGGGCCAUGUUCAUCGACCCUGGUUCGAGCGAUACCAGCCAACCAGCUACAAAUUAGAAACUCGUUCUGGAACAGAGGAAGAAUUUAAGAAUAUGGUUAAACGAUGUAAUGAUGUUGGGGUCCGGAUUUAUGUGGAUGCAGUAAUAAAUCAUAUGACCAGCUUUUGGCCCAAUGGAACUAAAUCCACUGGGGGCUCAUCAUUCUCUGCAGGAGCUACUCAAUACGACGCUGUGCCCUUCACUGCUGAUGAUUUUAAUAAUGAGAAAACAUGCCCCUCAAAAUCGGGCGAUAUUGAAAACUACGGUGACGAGCAACAAGUUCGCAAUUGUAAACUUCUUGGACUAAAUGACUUGGACCAUUCCAAACCUCAUGUGCAAGAUAUGGUUGCCGGAUUUUUAAAUAAACUCGUCAAAUUUGGCGUUGCUGGAUUUCGCAUCGACGCAAGCAAACACAUGUGGCCAAAACAAAUUCAUGAGAUACUGUCUAAAGUAGACAAUCUAAACUCUAACUUUGGCUUCAAGGAAAACUCCCGACCUUUUAUUUACCAGGAAGUAAUUGAUUUAGGAAAUGAGCCCAUCAAAGCCACUGAUUACUUGGACAAUGGAAGAGUAACAGAGUUCAAGUACGGAGCAAAUUUGGGGAAAGUAUUCCGCAAAGGAGAUGAGGCGAAAUUCCUACGAAAUUUUGGGGAGGAAUGGAAUAUGCUCAAUAGCCAAAAAGCACUUGUGUUUAUUGAUAAUCAUGAUAACCAACGAGGUCAUGGUGCUGGUGGAAGCAAUAUUCUUACAUUCCGAAACCCAACCCUUUAUAAGAUUGCGACUGCUUUCAUGCUGUCGUGGCCGUUCGGCGUCACAAAGGUCAUGUCUUCGUACUCCUGGGAGCAGAAAAUUGUUUAUGGACAUGACCAGAACGACUGGAUCGGGCCACCACAAACUCCAGAGUAUGAAAUAUUGAACGUUACAAUCAACGAAGAUUUAACAUGUGGUAAUGGUUGGGUUUGUGAACACCGUUGGACAGAGGUAUACAAGAUGGUAGAAUUUAGAAAUAUUGUUGGAGAUGCUCCUGUAGUCAAUUGGUGGGAUAAUGGUCUAAAUCAAAUUGCAUUUGGCAGACAAGGGAAAGGAUUCGUCAUCAUUAAUAAUGAUGAUUUCCCAGUGAUUGUGACCCUUAACACCACGCUGGCAUCAGGAACUUAUUGUGACAUUAUUUCCGGCGGGAUGCUGAAUAAAAAAUGCUUGGGGAUUUCGAUUACUGUAAAUGAAGGGGGAAAUGCCGAAUUCGCGAUUUCAAAUUUACAGGAAAGUCCAUUUAUCGUUAUUCAUAUGAAGGAUAAAAUUGCAUAGGUGUAACGUAUAACCGGAAUGGGCUUGUAAAAUAUGAUGUAGCUCCUACAAUGAUCCUUCAGAAUGGCAACAUAAAAAAAGAUGUACUUGUCGACGGAGCAAUUUUGAUCAGUACUGACGCUGCCUCAAAAAUUACGGAA